AUUGAACGCUGGCGGCAGGCCUAACACAUGCAAGUCGAACGAGUGGCGGACGGGUGAGUAAUGUCUGGGAAACUGCCCGAUGGAGGGGGAUAAAUAAUGGAAACGGUAGCUAAUACCGCAUACCAUCGGAUGUGCCCAGAUGGGAUUAGGUAGUUGGGGUGGUAACGGCUCCCCAAGCCGACGAUCUCUAGCUGGUCUGAGAGGAUGACCAGCCACACUGGGACGGAGACACGGUCCAGACUCCGAAGGGAGGCAGCAGUGGGGAAUAUUGCGCAAUGGGGGCAAGCCGGAUGCAGCCAUGCCGCGUGUAUGAAGAAGGCCGUCGGGUUGUAAAGUUCUUUCGGCAGCGAGGCGUUAACGACAGAAGAAGCACCGGCUAACUCCGUGCCAGCAGCCGCGGUAAUUC
rnacentral:rRNA from 1 species